rnacentral:rRNA from 1 species
AUCAUGCAAGUAGAACGCUGAAGGAGGAGCUUGCUUCUCUGGAUGAGUUGCGAACUGGUGAGUAACGCGUAGGUAACCUGCCUGGUAGCGGGGGAUAACUAUUGGAAACGAUAGCUAAUACCGCAUAAUAGUAGUUGUUGCAUGACAACUGUUUGAAAGGUGCAAUUGCAUCACUACCAGAUGGACCUGCGUUGUAUUAGCUAGUUGGUGGGGUAACGGCUCACCAAGGCGACGAUACAUAGCCGACCUGAGAGGGUGAUCGGCCACACUGGGACUGAGACACGGCCCAGACUCCUACGGGAGGCAGCAGUAGGGAAUCUUCGGCAAUGGACGGAAGUCUGACCGAGCAACGCCGCGUGAGUGAAGAAGGUUUUCGGAUCGUAAAGCUCUGUUGUAAGAGAAGAACGAGUGUGAGAGUGGAAAGUUCACACUGUGACGGUAUCUUACCAGAAAGGGACGGCUAACUACGUGCCAGCAGCCGCGGUAAUACGUAGGUCCCGAGCGUUGUCCGGAUUUAUUGGGCGUAAAGCGAGCGCAGGCGGUUAGAUAAGUCUGAAGUUAAAGGCUGUGGCUUAACCAUAGUACGCUUUGGAAGCUGUUUAACUUGAGUGCAAGAAGGGAGAGUGGAAUUCCAUGUGUAGCGGUGAAAUCCGUAAAUAUAUGGAGGAACCACCGGUGGCGAAAGCGGCUCUCCUGG